ACGUAGGUGGCGAGCGUUGUCCGGAUUUACUGGGCGUAAAGGGAGCGUAGGCGGACUUUUAAGUGAGAUGUGAAAUACACGGGCUCAACUUGGGUGCUGCAUUUCAAACUGGAAGUCUAGAGUGCAGAAGAGGAAGAUGGAAUUCCUAGUGUAGCGGUGAAAUGCGUAGAUAUUAGGAAGAACACCAAUGGCGAAGGCAGUUCUCUGGACUGUAACUGACGCUGAGGCUCGAAAGUGUGGGGAGCAAACAG
rnacentral:rRNA from 1 species